rnacentral:lncRNA from 1 species
ACUGUCACGUUGACAGUGGAGGACUAAGGGUGCGUGUCGAGUGCCCGGGCUGUCCGGCCACCAGGGGAGCCGAAGGGCCUCUGGGAAGGGCAAGCGGCGGGGCCAGGGCUGGCCUCUUCCUGCCGCCUCUCCGCUUCACUUCGCCGCCCUGAGCAGCUCCGAACCUGCCCGGGUUUAUGGGCAUUUAAUAGCAACUCCUGAGACCUAGACAGGAUGGUGUUUGUGAGGAGGGUAGGAUUUGGUCAGCCACUCAAACAGCGGGGAGAUACGUCUCCUUAUGACCAAUGGAGAAAGUGAAACCAAACGGUGCAGAAGCCAGAGCUCCAGGAAAGAAAGAAAAUGGAAGAGAAUCCAAGUGUGGAUCUGUCUGGAGCUCUUUGGGAGAGCAGCUCCAGAACAGAAGCAGAGAAGGAGCAUGAGCAGAGCUGAAAUUUACAAUUCAGACAGAUGCUUGAAGUGCUUUGGCAUAACUGUUCUGGCCAGUCCUCAACAACAACCUUAGAAAUUCUUCAAAUCCAUCACCUUAAUUUGCCAACCUAGGAAAACCCCUAUCUGUGGAAGAUGUGGUAACAUAUCCUACCAUGUAAUAAAAUAAUUGCUUGCU